UCGAUGACCAUCCUAGCCUCUCCCGCUCGUCAACUGUCUCCUGGUCCUGCCGCCUCCGUCGCGGUCUGCAUUCGUGCGUAACGAUGCAAGCGAGGCGCUGGUACAGGCGCGAAACAAGGAACAAGUCAAGCCAAGCCACGCCAGCCAGCCUGACGGAGUCUUCAUGCUCUUUAAGGGAUGAGAGGUCAACACACUUGGAGGCAGGAAGAGCGAGCCUCAAUGGAAGAAGCAGCAGGUCAAGCGAGGAACUUCGACAAGCGGUUUGCGCUGAGCUGUAGCGGCGAAUGGGACAAACCUGCGUGAAAGACCUGGCAAUGCAAGGACACAAGCAGUCCACUCCCAGCCUCCUCCCUCCUCCCUUCAACUCCCAACCCCUCCACCACUCGAC
rnacentral:misc_RNA from 1 species